AAUAAAGCAUAGAUCUGUCGUUAAUAGGAGUUAACACACGCGGGAUAAAAAUUUCACCUAGCGCUAAAAUAAAUCACUCCUCCCGCUGGCCUUAAUUAUUCUGCACACUAAAACCCACAAUUGUUUUCUACACUCAAAUCAAUUAUUCUCCAAUUCUCAAUUUGUGGUUCGUAAUUCUUGCGGUUAGGGCUCGAAAUUUCUCUAAAUCAGCGAAUUUGAAAGGAAUAUCUCAUAAUUCUGGUGGUGCUUCUUGUAACAAUUCCGGCUCAUCCUCCUCUUUUAAUCCUUUGGGUUCUCUAGCCAACACCUUUAUUAUUGGCUCAUCCUCCAAAACAGAGGAACAUAAUGGUUGUCCCUAAUGGAUCCACUCAAAGAGCAUCAAUGCUAAGAUCUAAAAGGGAGUAUGUUCCACCUCUUAUGCUCUCUAAAGGACGUGGAAAGGGGUUGGCAGGUCUAUAUCCAAACAAAAGUAAUGCUAAUGCUAAUGUUGAUGGAAUAGGGGCUAGUACUGGUAUUUUACACAGAAGUAAACAUCCUUUAAUCCGUUCUAGUAAUAGUAUGAUUCUCUUUGUGUUAAUAAAGGCCCUUUAUUAUCAAAUAAACUUCCUUUUAGUCAUGUUAGAGCUCCAACCACUUCCCUAAUGUUGAUAGAAACGUAAGAGCUUCCUUUAAUCCACUAGUUACUCCCCGUGCUAGUAAUGGUAAUGAUUCUCUUUGUGUUAAUAAAGGCCCUUUAUCAUCAAAUAAACGCCCUUUUACUCAUGAUAGACCUCCAACCACUUCCCCUAAUGCUGAUAGAAACGUAAGAGCUUCCUUUAAUCCACUAGUUACUCCCUGUGCUCAGUUUAAUGGUAAUACUAAUAUAGAUGAUCAUGAUUCAUUUUCUGAGUCAUGUAAUGAGAAUAUCAAUGAUGAUGAUGAUGUUGAUGCUGAUGGUGAGAUACAAUAUACAUCACAUGAAGAUCAAGAUAUGCUUUAUCAAGAAGGCUAUGAAACUCUUGAUGGCCUUGACAACGAGCUGAACUUUCAAGUUGAUGGAAAUGACAAUGGAACAGAGGAACCUACAACAUUUCAAGGAGAUGCAAGGGGUGGUGACCAAUCUACUACUAAGAAGCAAGCAGCUAAUGCAAAA